rnacentral:misc_RNA from 1 species
AAAGUCGUAACAAGGUAACCGUAGGUGAACCUGCGGUUGGAUCAUUAAUAAAUUUUAGAGCAGUAGGGGGUCGAGGCUCUUGAGUCUAGGCUUCUCGCCUGUUUCUUAACAUUUUGUGAAUCGUUUAUUGUCUCUUGCGGUUGGAGGCUCUUACGAGAGUCAACUCCGCAUGUGAAUCUUAACAUUGUAAUAUAACCAUCAGUCUCAAAACUUAAACCUAAAAAAUUUAAAAACAACUUUUGACAACGGAUCUCUAGGCUCUC